AAGUAUCUCCGAGUUCACCGAAUCUGUCGGUGAAUAGGAGUAACGGCUGGCUGGCACAGCCAUCGACGUACCUGUUCGAUUCAGGGAGCGGAUGCUUUGCACCGCGAGAACAGGCUACGUCGUAAACCACAAUAUCCCAACCCAGCGGUGUGGUGCCGUGGGAAUCCUCGUGCUUCAGCGCGGGGA
rnacentral:ncRNA from 1 species